GCCGCGUGUGUGAAGAAGGCCUUCGGGUUGUAAAGCACUUUUGUCCGGAAAGAAAUCCUUGGUCCUAAUAUGGCCGGGGGAUGACGGUACCGGAAGAAUAAGCACCGGCUAACUACGUGCCAGCAGCCGCGGUAAUACGUAGGGUGCGAGCGUUAAUCGGAAUUACUGGGCGUAAAGCGUGCGCAGGCGGUUUGCUAAGACCGAUGUGAAAUCCCCGGGCUCAACCUGGGAACUGCAUUGGUGACUGGCAGGCUAGAGUAUGGCAGAGGGGGGUAGAAUUCCACGUGUAGCAGUGAAAUGCGUAGAGAUGUGGAGGAAUACCGAUGGCGAAGGCAGCCCCCUGGGCCAAUACUGACGCUCAUGCACGAAAGCGUGGGGAGCAAACAGGAUUAGAUACCCUGGUAGUCCACGCCCUAAACGUGUCAACUAGUUGUUGGGGAUUCAUUUCCUUAGUAACGUAGCUAACGCGUGAAGUUGACCGCCUGGGGAGUACGGUCGCAAGAUUAAAACUCAAGGAAUU
rnacentral:rRNA from 1 species